rnacentral:misc_RNA from 1 species
CCGAGUUUACAACUCCCAAACCCAAUGUGAACCAUACCAAACUGUUGCCUCGGCGGGGUCACGCCCUGGGUGCGUCGCAGCCCCGGAACCAGGCGCCCGCCGGAGGGACCAACCAACUCUUUCUGUAGUCCCCUCGCGGACGUUAUUUCUUACAGCUCUGAGCAAAAAUUCAAAAUGAAUCA